rnacentral:rRNA from 1 species
AUUGAACGCUGGCGGCAGGCCUAACACAUGCAAGUCGAGCGGAUGACGGGAGCUUGCUCCUGGAUUCAGCGGCGGACGGGUGAGUUAUGCCUAGGAAUCUGCCUGGUAGUGGGGGACAACGUUUCGAAAGGAACGCUAAUACCGCAUACGUCCUACGGGAGAAAGCAGGGGACCUUCGGGCCUUGCGCUAUCAGAUGAGCCUAGGUCGGAUUAGCUAGUUGGUGAGGUAAUGGCUCACCAAGGCGACGAUCCGUAACUGGUCUGAGAGGAUGAUCAGUCACAAUGGAACUGAGACACGGUCCAGACUCCUACGGGAGGCAGCAGUGGGGAAUAUUGGACAAUGGGCGAAAGCCUGAUCCAGCCAUGCCGCGUGUGUGAAGAAGGUCUUCGGAUUGUAAAGCACUUUAAGUUGGGAGGAAGGGUUGUAGAUUAAUACUCUGCAAUUUUGACGUUACCGACAGAAUAAGCACCGGCUAACUCUGUGCCAGCCGCCGCCGUAACAC